rnacentral:rRNA from 1 species
AGAGUUUGAUCCUGGCUCAGAACGAACGCUGGCGGCAGGCUUAACACAUGCAAGUCGAACGACAUAGUGGCAGACGGGUGAGUAACGCGUGGGAACGUGCCCUUCACUACGGAAUAGCUUCUGGAAACGGAAGGUAAUACCGUAUACGCCCUUCGGGGGAAAGAUUUAUCGGUGAAGGAUCGGCCCGCGUUGCAUUAGUUUGUUGGUGGGGUAAUGGCCUACCAAGACUACGAUGCAUAGCUGGUCUGAGAGGAUGAUCAGCCACACUGGGACUGAGACACGGCCCAGACUCCUACGGGAGGCAGCAGUGGGGAAUCUUGCACAAUGGGCGAAAGCCUGAUGCAGCCAUGCCGCGUGAAUGAUGAAGGCCUUAGGGUUGUAAAAUUCUUUCGCCAAGGAUGAUAAUGACAGUACUUGGUAAAGAAGCCCCGGCUAACUUCGUGCCAGCAGCCGCGGUAAUACGAAGGGGGCUAGCGUUGUUCGGAAUUACUGGGCGUAAAGCGCGCGUAGGCGGGUUGUUAAGCCAGAUGUGAAAGCCCGGGGCUCAACUCCGGAAUUGCAUUUGGAACUGGCAACCUAGAGGCCAGGAGAGGUUAGCGGAAUACCGAGUGUAGAGGUGAAAUUCGUAGAUAUUCGGUGGAACACCAGUGGCGAAGGCGGCUAACUGGACUGGUACUGACGCUGAGGCGCGAAAGUGUGGGGAGCAAACAGGAUUAGAUACCCUGGUAGUCCACACCGUAAACGAUGAAUGCUAGUUGUCUGCGCGCAUGCGUGCAGGUGACGCAGCUAACGCAUUAAGCAUUCCGCCUGGGGAGUACGGCCGCAAGGUUAAAACUCAAAGAAAUUGACGGGGGCCCGCACAAGCGGUGGAGCAUGUGGUUUAAUUCGAAGCAACGCGCAGAACCUUACCCGCGUUUGACAUGCCCUGUUUGGUUACCAGAGAUGGUUCCUUCAUUUAGUUGGCAGGUGCACAGGUGCUGCAUGGCUGUCGUCAGCUCGUGUCGUGAGAUGUGGGUUAAGUCCCGCAACGAGCGCAACCCUUAUCCUUAGUUGCCAGCACGUUUGGGUGGGCACUCUAAGGAAACUGCCGGUGCUAAGCCGGAGGAAGGCGGGGAUGACGUCAAGUCCUCAUGGCCCUUACACGCGGGGCUACACACGUGCUACAAUGGCAGUGACAAUGGGAUAAUCCCAAAAAACUGUCUCAGUUCGGAUUGUCGUCUGCAACUCGACGGCAUGAAGUUGGAAUCGCUAGUAAUCGUGGAUCAGCAUGCCACGGUGAAUACGUUCCCGGGCCUUGUACACACCGCCCGUCACAUCAUGGGAGUUGGUUCUACCCGAAGACCGUGCGCUAACUUCGGAGGCAGCGGGCCACGGUAGGAUCAGCGACUGGGAUGAAGUCGUAACAAGGUAGCCGU